CAAGGUAACAGAGGAAUGCAUGGCUUGACUGUGCAUCUGCUUCAUAAGAGAGAGCCACACAAAGACGAGAAGAUGUCCCAUGCCGAUGAGCAACAUCUUUUGAGUGUGAUUUGAACUUCCAUCUGAUCAGCAGCCUCACGGCGGACGAACCGAGUGAGCAGCCGGUGGAGAUGAAGCAGGUCAAGCAGCAGCAGCAGCAGCAGCAGAGGAGUCCAUCAGGUGCUGCUGUCGGGACAGUUGGAAGAGCAAACGAUCAAAACGUCUGCACCGAGGAUGUCAGAGCUGAUGCAGUACUGAGGUGAGUAUCUCUCUCGGCCGUCCACUGACCUGAAGGUCGGCGGUUCGAUCCCAGCAGGUUAUAACGUGCUGUGAGCGGUCGAUGUGACUCAGAGAAGGAGGUCUUUGCCUGUUUACCUCGACAAGAAAGUUUGUGCUCUUCCCCAGAUUAUCAUUAAAUAUGUCAACACAGUUAUCAGUGAAAGUCUCAUAUUAAUAAAAGUGAGAUGACAGACUUCCCUGUACCAAUGAACUGUUAAUGAUAAGUCCAGUGUAAUACACCACAGAUAUGAACUGACAGAACAAGUUUACCGAUGCAUUUGAAAUGAUAACUCAUUGUCAAAUACAUCAUAAUAAUAUUUCUCUUCAAAUAUUGAUAUUCUGACUGACUGUCUGUCUGACUGAUUGUCUGUCUCUCUGACUGUCUGUCUGACUGUCUGUCUCUCUGUCUGUCUGACUGUCUGUCUCUCUGUCUAUCUGUCUGUCUGUCUGUCUGUCUGACUGACCCCUGGUCUGUCUCUGGGGUUUCCCCCGGUCCAUUUCCUGCUCUUCCCUGCGGCCCGUGGUGCAGUGCUGCAUCUCUGGUCAGUUGGUAGUCUGAGAUGAAGCACUGUAGCUCGGGACGGAGGACAGAAGUCUCAAUCUGAAGUCAUAGUUCAUCUUUCUGUUGACAUCGAAGGAAAAUAAUGAAUUACAAAAUGUGUCCUGUGUCAAAAUAAAAGAAUUUAGAGUCAUCGUUGAACAUUUGGGUAUAACUUUCCAGGAUAUGGAAUAACUCCUAAACUCAUUGAGGUUGCCAUGACGAUCAGACACUGUUGCUCAGGAGGUAGAGUGGGUCGUCCACCAACCCGAAGGGCGGCUCUUCAACAGUGGGAGAAUGUGUCAGAAAAAGUGUAGUGAAGAGCAGCAUGUGUGUGAGUGACUUUGUGUGAGUGUGUGAUCAAUAAGACUAGAAAAGCUCUAUAUAAAUAAAGUCCAUUGACUGUAAAGUAUUUCUGUCUCAUGAACGUGACCUGUGUGGGACAGAAAUCCACUACACCACGAUGAUGGGUCACAUCUUCUCCUCUCUCCCGGGGUCCAGUUUUCCCAGGAAUCCCUUGACCAAUCACAAAGGGGGAUUCCUGGAAAUACUGUUCUUGGGGGCGGGGCUAAUCAGCCAUUCCACGUGCUGUAUGCCACACCCUGGCCCUAAGUCCCGUCUGUGACGGGGCUCAGGGACAUGAGAGAAACACAAGACUGCAUAUUAUAUCAUGUAAAUAUGACGACUGCCCAUUGUUUAAUAAAUGCUCAAAACCAA